rnacentral:rRNA from 1 species
UGGCUAACUCCUACGGGAGGCAGCAGUGGGGAAUUUUGGACAAUGGGGGCAACCCUGAUCCAGCAAUGCCGCGUGAGUGAAGAAGGCCUUCGGGUUGUAAGGCUCUUUUGUCAGGGAAGAAACGGUAGUAGCUAAUAUCUAUUACUAAUGACGGUACCUGAAGAAUAAGCACCGGCUAACUACGUGCCAGCAGCCGCGGUAAUACGUAGAGUGCAAGCGUUAAUCGGAAUUACUGGGCGUAAAGCGUGCGCAGGCGGUUGUGUAAGUCAGAUGUGAAAUCCCCGGGCUCAACCUGGGAAUUGCAUUUGAGACUGCACGGCUAGAGUGUAGCAGAGGGGGGUAGAAUUCCACGUGUAGCAGUGAAAUGCGUAGAUAUGUGGAGGAAUACCGAUGGCGAAGGCAGCCCGCUAGGAUAACACUGACGCUGAUGCACGAAAGCGUGGGGAGCAAACAGGAUUAGAAACCCCGGUAGUCCAGCUGG